CCUACGGGAGGCAGCAUUGAGGAAUAUUGGUCAAUGUGCGAGAGCCUGAACCAGCCAAGUCGCGUAAAGGAUGAAGGAUCUAUGGUUUGUAAACUUCUUUUAUAUGGUAAUAAAGUGAGGAACGUGUUCCUUUUUGUAUGUACCAUAUGAAUAAGCAUCGGCUAACUCCGUGCCAGCAGCCGCGGUAAUACGGAAGAUGCGAACGUUUUCCGGAUUUAUUGGGUUUAAAGGGUUACUAGGUGGUUAAUUAAGUCAGCGGGGAAAGUUUGUGGCUAAACCAUAAAAUUGCCGUUGAAACUGGUUGACUUGAGUAUAUUUGAGGUAGGCGGAAGGCGUGGUGUAGCGGUGAAAUGCAUAGAUAUCACGCAGAACUCCGAUUGCGAAGGCAGCUUACUAAACUAUAACUGACACUGAAGCACGAAAGCGGGGGGAUCAAACAGGAUUAGAUACCCCUGUAGUC
rnacentral:rRNA from 1 species